AUACGUUGAGCUAACCGAUACUAAUGAACCGUGAGGCUUAACCUUACAACGCCGAAG
rnacentral:rRNA from 1 species